rnacentral:misc_RNA from 1 species
GAUGAAGAACGCAGCGAAAUGCGAUACGUAAUGUGAAUUGCAAAUUCAGUGAAUCAUCGAGUCUUUGAACGCACAUUGCGCCCCCUGGUAUUCCGGGGGGCAUGCCUGUCCGAGCGUCAUUGCUGCCCUCAAGCACGGCUUGUGUGUUGGGCCCCGUCCUCCGAUCCCGGGGGACGGGCCCGAAAGGCAGCGGCGGCACCGCGUCCGGUCCUCGAGCGUAUGGGGCUUUGUCACCCGCUCUGUAGGCCCGGCCGGCGCUUGCCGAUCAACCCAAAUCUUUAUCCAGGUUGACCUCGGAUCAGGUAGGGAUACCCGCUGAACUUAAGCAUAUCAAUAAGCGGAGGA